rnacentral:tRNA from 1 species
AACUCUAUAGUUGAAAAACAAUAACGAAUUGCAAAUUCGCAGGUACAUAGAAUAAAAGUUAGGGUUU